UACGUAGGGGGCUAGCGUUGUCCGGAAUCAUUGGGCGUAAAGAGCGUGUAGGCGGCCCGGUAAGUCCGCUGUGAAAGUCGGGGGCUCAACCCUCGAAUGCCGGUGGAUACUGUCGGGCUAGAGUGCGGAAGAGGCGAGUGGAAGUUCCUGGUGUAGCGGUGAAAUGCGCAGAUAUCAGGAGGAACACCGGUGGCGAAGGCGGUGGUCUGGGCCGGCACUGACGCUGGAGGAGCGAAAGGCGUGGGGAGCGAACAGG
rnacentral:rRNA from 1 species